rnacentral:lncRNA from 1 species
AAUGUACAGUAGGAGGGGGUGCUGUGUCCAUUCAUUGCUUAUCAAUCACCUUCUAACAGAGUGAUAGGGCCUCUUACCUAAGAAAAGACAUGGGUCACAAAUAGGCAGCACUUGAUCAGAACAGCCUCUCUUGCCCAAUGCAAAAAGCUCUGCCUCUUUUGGAAGUAAGAUACCUUCCACUUGGCAGACAGAUGUGAUAGCUGAGUGUGUGUGCGCCCUAAGUGUCCACUUCUGCAAGUGAUUGUGAUGCUGCUAUAAUUGAGGAUGGGCUGUAUAUUAAUAUAGCAGAUUGUUGCUAUAAAGUUUAGGAUAUGACCUACAGGGAUGACAUCAGAAUGUGCCUACAGUUAUCGAGUUCUGGAAUCCUAGUAUAUUAUUAACCUGGGCUGUUUGGGGGAUCUCAUCAUGUGUGUCCGAUUUUCUUUCUUUAGUUCUUAGGUGGAGUUGGAUUGAUUAUUUUACAAGUGAUAUGAUUUUGCAUUUUUCUGUGUAGCAGAUUUUGUGGUUGGAAAUAGAGUGUUAUAAUUUUGGUUUAGUCCACGGGUGUUAAGGAAGCUGAGUUCUUUUCAUUUAUUUUUCAGGGUGGAAUGGGAAGAAAAGGGAUGUGAUCACAGCUUUUUACAUGAAGAGUGCAAGGAAAGUGUGUUAACAGUUGUUUUCUUGAAAGCCGUUUGAGUUGACCACAGUCUUUUACAGAUUUAGCCGAAGUCCAGGCCAAAUAUUCCAG